rnacentral:rRNA from 2 species
UACGAAGGGUGCAAGCGUUACUCGGAAUUACUGGGCGUAAAGCGUGCGUAGGUGGUUGUUUAAGUCUGUCGUGAAAGCCCUGGGCUCAACCUGGGAAUUGCGAUGGAAACUGGGCGACUAGAGUGUGGCAGAGGAUAGUGGAAUUCCUGGUGUAGCAGUGAAAUGCGUAGAGAUCAGGAGGAACAUCCGUGGCGAAGGCGACUGUCUGGGCCAACACUGACACUGAGGCACGAAAGCGUGGGGAGCAAAC